AUUGAACGCUGGCGGCAGGCCUAACACAUGCAAGUCGAACGAGUGGCGGACGGGUGAGUAAUGUCUGGGAAACUGCCAGAUGGAGGGGGAUAACUAAUGGAAACGGUAGCUAAUACCGCAUACAAUCGGAUGUGCCCAGAUGGGAUUAGCUUGUAGGUGCGGUAACGGCUCACCUAGGCGACGAUACCUAGGUGGGCUGAGAGGAUGACCAGUGACACGUGAACUGAGAGACGGUCCAGCCUCCUGUGUGAGGCAGCAGUUGGGAAUCUUGAACAAUGGGAGCAAGUCUGAUGGAUCAAUGCCGCGUGUAUGAAGAAGUCCGUCGGGUUGUAAAGUACUGUCAGCGGGGAGGCGUUACCCGCAGAAGAAGCACCGGAUAACGCGGUGCCAGCAGCCGCGGUAAUAC
rnacentral:rRNA from 1 species